GACGAACGCUGGCGGCGUGCCUAAUACAUGCAAGUAGGACGCAGUUGCGAACGGGUGAGUAACGCGUAGGUAACUACCUAUUAGAGGGGGAUAACUAUUGGAAACGAUAGCUAAUACCGCAUAAUAGUAGAUGGACCUGCCUUGUAUUAGCAAGUAGGUAGGGUAAUGGCCUAACUAGGCAACGAUACAUAGCCGACCUUGGAGGUGGAUCGGCCACACUGGGACUGCGACACGGUCCAGACUCCUACGGGAGGCAGCAUUAGGGAAUCUUCGGCAAUGGGGGAACCCGUACCGAGCAACGCCGCGUGAGUGAAGAAGGUUUUCGGAUCGUAAAGCUCUGUUGUUAAGGAAGCGGUACUUAACCAGAAAGGGACGGCUAACUACGUGCCAGCAGCCGCGGUAAUUC
rnacentral:rRNA from 1 species